rnacentral:snRNA from 1 species
AGCUUUGCACAGUGGCAGUAUUGUAGCCAAUGAGGUUUAUCCAAGGCGCGAUUAUUGCUAAGUGAAAAGCACUAUACAGCAGGCAUGGUGGUACAUGCUUGCAAUCCCAGCUAGAUUGAGGCUAGAAGAUCAAAAAU